rnacentral:lncRNA from 10 species
GAUGGAGUGAUGGAGUGCAGGGGCGUGACCUCAGCUCACUGCAACCUUCACCUCCCAGGUUCAAGUGAUUCUCCUGCCUCUGCCUCCCGAAUAGCUGGGAUUACAGGUAUGCACUACUACACUGGGCUAAGUUUUGUAUUUUCAGUAGAGAUGGGGUUUCACCACUUGGCCAGGCUGGUCUCGAACUUCUGACCUCAAGCAAUCCUCCCGCCUUAGGCUCCCAAAGUGGUGGGAUUACAGGCCUGAACCACAGGGCCCAGCCUUGGCUUGUGGUUCUUUUACUAAAUAUGGAAUAGCGAUAAAGCUUAUGUAUCAUAUUUGUAAAAGAAAGCUAGGCACAUGAAGCAGAAUUAAUUCAUGAGGGAAAAUAUUUAUUUUACUCUCAAGUCUCCCGAAAGUUAUUGUAUUCAUUUAAACUCAAUUUCUAAUUUUUUUAGUUACCCAAAUACUAUUGCAUUAAAUGCAUUAAAGAGAGCAUUGUACCUAGCAGAUAUGUGAGAAACAGUUUGACUUUUUAACCACUAAAAAAUGUCCAAAUAUCAGAAUUUAUUUUAUUUUAAAUUUCAAAAAAAUCCUUAUUUUAUAUGAUAAAAAUCAAGUUGAUUUGUAAGUCAUAUAUAUCAGCUUAUUAUCAAGAACUAUUGCUAUGUAAAAGAACUUAGGACUGUGUAAUUAGAACUAUGUAAUAGAAAUAUUUACAGAAGACUAUAUCUGCCAACAUGAGAUACUCUACCACCAUAACUUAUAUCAAUGACUCUUGUUCUAUCAUCGUGUGCAUUAUAAAUAGUGCAAAAUUUCAAGAAAUUUCCAUUUUGAGAUAUAAGAAAUCAAUAUGCUGGGAAAACUAAUAUCAAACUCUGAAGUAGAUAUAUUUCAUUUUAUAUAUAUUUUAAAUGACCUUUAACUAAAGGUUAAAUUGGAUUGACACACUGAAGAUAAAUUUUUUUAUUAUUAUCAUCAUUAAAUUAUUAUUUUGUGACUAUUACUAUUCAACUAACACUACAUCUGAUAAUAUAAUGAUAAACACAUUCCUUUUUUAUAUUAACUAGCAUUUUUUUCGAGUUUCUUAAAGCUUUGUUUGCAACUCUGGAUGAUUUAUGUGGGACAUGAUAAAACCAAUCUCCACACAGGCUAAUUUGAGACCUGGCAUCAUUGUCUCUCUCUGAACAAUCUGGAAGCUUUUUUAUGGUAGUGAAUUGCUCAUUUGGGGUGCGAGGAUUGAAGCAGGCAAGUGUCUGGGUCAUUAUGUGCUCAGCCAUGUCUUACAUAGGUGUUUGGAUUUGUAUAGCACUGGUUAAUCUGUAAUGUGUUUUAAUUUAGAGACAUAAAUUCUGGCCAGAAUUCUAUGCUUUAAUUAAAUAGUGUCAAGGGAUUGAUCGCAGCAUAUUGAUCCAUAACUGAACAUUUUAUCCAUGAAGUCACAGGUCCAGUGAGUCAGUCAUCAUUGCCUAGAAUACCCUACUUCAAACAAUGAAACUCACUUUCAAUCUAUCAUCAUCUUUCACUCUUCAGUGAAACCCCAUGUAGCUUCCAGAUGUGGUUUCAGGAUUUCUCUAUAUUGUUGGAGAGCAUUUAGGGCUCAAGAGAAAUCAUUGCUGCUUUAGCGCCUGGAGAAGAGCUACAGCUCAGGUGUUCAAUAGAAGAGAUGCACACAGGCAUCUAUGUUGUCAGCAAGCUAGCACUAUCAAAGCAUCUGGAGACAACAAUAGGAGUCAAGGAUACCAUCUCUAGCACAGAUCCCCGAACAAGAACCUGAGACCUGCCGAACAGCAGGUGCCAAAGAUGCUGCUGUAACACCACAGCCCUCCCAUCUUCCAUCCUCCACUGGCGCUGAGUGGCAGUCCCAUGUGACAGGAAGUGGAGGCAGAGCUGGGCCAGCCCAGGAGCCACGUGCUGGAGCCAGAUACUCUGUUUUUCUACAAAUGGAAAGUUUGUGGCAUCCUUGACUCAAGCAAAUUUUUCAGCACCAUUUUUCAAGAGCGUGUGCUCACUUCACCUCUCUGUAUCGUGUUUUGAUGCUUGUCCUGGAAACCAACCAUGAGCUGUGAUGAAAUCCAGGCAACUGAGUUGUGUUUCAGCCCAAAGCAGCAAAUGGAAUCCAGCUUCAGGACCAUCAUCUGACAUAGGGGAAGAAGACUUACAUAGAAGGCCUAACCAGCACCCAAGAUCAUGCUCAUAGGUGGAGGAGACUUGCUUUGUCUCAGAUGAGACUUUGGACUGUGGACUUUUGAGUUAAUGCUGAAAUGAGUUGAGACUUUGGGGAACUGUUGGGAAGGCAUGAUUGGUUUUAAAUAUGAAUAUAUGAGAUUUGGGAGGGGGUCAGGGGUGGAAUGAUAUGGUUUGGCUCUGUGUCCCCACCCAAAUCUCAUCUUGUAGCUCCCAUAAUCCUCCCAUGUUGUGGGAGGGACCCAGUGGGAGAUGAUUGAAUCAUGAGGGCGGGUCUUUCUCAUGCUGUUCAUGAUCCCAUUCAUGUGAGAAAGACCCAUGUGAUCAUGAAUGGGUCUCACAAGAUCUGAUGGUGUUAAAAAUGGGAGUUUCUCUGCACAAGCUCUCUGCCUGCUGCCAUUCACAAAGGAUGUGACUUGCUUCUCCUUGCCUUCUGCUAUGAUUGUGAGGCCUCCCUAGCCAUGUGGAACUGUGAGUCCAAUUAAACCUCUUUCUUUUGUAAAUU